rnacentral:rRNA from 1 species
AUUGAACGCUGGCGGCAGGCCUAACACAUGCAAGUCGAACGAGUGGCGGACGGGUGAGUAAUGUCUGGGAAACUGCCCGAUGGAGGGGGAUAACUACUGGAAACGGUAGCUAAUACCGCAUACCAUCGGAUGUGCCCAGAUGGGUUUAGCUUGUAGGUGAGGUAACGGCUCACCUAGGCGACGAUCCCUAGCUGGUCUGAGAGGAUGACCAGCCAAACGGGAACUGGGAAACGGUCAAGACUCCUAUGGGGGGCAGAAGUGGGAAAUAUUGCAAAAGGGGCGAAAGCCGGAUGCAGACAGGCCGCGUGGAUGAAGAGGGCGUUCGGGUUGUAAAGUACUUUCAGCGGGGAGGCGUUACCAGCAGAAGAAGCACCGGCUAACUCCGUGCCAGCAGCGGCGUAAUAC